rnacentral:rRNA from 1 species
GACGUAGGGGGCAAGCGUUGUUCGGAAUUACUGGGCGUAAAGCGCACGUAGGCGGCUUUGCAAGUCAGAGGUGAAAGCCCGGGGCUCAACCCCGGAAUUGCCUUUGAGACUGCAUCGCUAGAAUUGUGGAGAGGUAAGUGGAAUUCCGAGUGUAGAGGUGAAAUUCGUAGAUAUUCGGAAGAACACCAGUGGCGAAGGCGACUUACUGGACACAUAUUGACGCUGAGGUGCGAAAGCGUGGGGAGCAAACAGG